rnacentral:rRNA from 1 species
UUAAAAAUUUUGCAUAUCCAAUAAGCGGAGGAAAAGAAACCAACAGGGAUUGCCCUAGUAACGGCGAGUGAAGCGGCAACAGCUCAAAUUUGAAAGCUGGCCUUCGGGUCCGCAUUGUAAUUUGUAGAGGAUGCUUUGGGUGAAACGCCAGUCUAAGUUCCUUGGAACAGGACGUCAUAGAGGGUGAGAAUCCCGUAUGUGACUGGAAAUGUUAACCUAUGUAAAGCUCCUUCGACGAGUCGAGUUGUUUGGGAAUGCAGCUCUAAAUGGGAGGUAAAUUUCUUCUAAAGCUAAAUAUUGGCGAGAGACCGAUAGCGCACAAGUAGAGUGAUCGAAAGAUGAAAAGCACUUUGGAAAGAGAGUUAAAAAGCACGUGAAAUUGUUGAAAGGGAAGCGCUUGCAAUCAGACUUGUUUAAACUGUUCGGCCGGUCUUCUGACCGGUUUACUCAGUUUGGACAGGCCAGCAUCAGUUUCGGCGGCCGGAUAAAGGCUCUGGGAAUGUGGCCUUCACUUCGGUGAAGGUGUUAUAGCCCAGGGUGUAAUACGGCCAGCCGGGACUGAGGUCCGCGCUCGGCUAAGAUGCUGCGUAA